rnacentral:tRNA from 1 species
GCGCUCGUAGCUCAACUGGACAGAGCACUUGUCUUCGGAACAAGUGGUUGGGUGUUCAAAUCACCCCGAGCGCG